UAAAAAACUGGUUCCCAUAUGAUCACUGAAUUUAAGCAAUAUUGAGGCUGGUUAGUACUUAGAUGGGUGAUUGCUUGGGAAUACCAAGUACUGGAA